CGUAGGGGGCAAGCGUUGUCCGGAUUUAUUGGGCGUAAAGAGCGUGUAGGCGGCCUGGAAGGUCUGCUGUGAAAACUCGAGGCUCAACCUCGAGACGCCGGCAGAAACCCUCAGGCUAGAGUCCGGAAGAGGAGAGUGGAAUUCCCGGUGUAGCGGUGAAAUGCGCAGAUAUCAGGAAGAACACCCGUGGCGAAGGCGGCUCUCUGGGACGGUACUGACGCUGAGACGCGAAAGCGUGGGGAGCGAACAGGAUUAGAUACCCUGGUAGUCCACGCCGUAAACGAUGAGUGCUAGGUGUGGGGGGUGUCGACUCCCCCCGUGCCGAAGCUAACGCAUUAAGCACUCCGCCUGGGGAGUACGGCCGCAAGGCUA
rnacentral:rRNA from 1 species